rnacentral:misc_RNA from 1 species
UUGAAUUUUAAUGAGGAGUUGGUUGUUGCUGGCCUUGGGAUUUUUUUUUAAAUAAUUAUUCCAGGCACUUGUGCACACCUUCUCUUUCAUCCACACACACCUGUGCACUUGUGAGACAGAUGUUGGGGACUUUAUUGAACCCCGUCUGUCUACUUAAUUUACACACACUCUAUUUAAUUUAAACUGAAUGUAAUUGAUGUAACGCAUCUAAUAC